rnacentral:pre_miRNA from 1 species
AGUAGAAUUGCUGGGUCAAGUGGCAAUUCUGUGUAAUUUUCUGAGGAAUUUCCAAAAUGUUUUUCACCGUCAUUGCACCAUUUUACAUUCCUAUUGGCAAU